rnacentral:lncRNA from 1 species
CGUAUAUGUGUGUUUACCCUUUGUCAUUGCUUUAUANCAGGGCUGCCUCAGCUGAGGUCCUUUCAAAUGUUCAUAGAAUCAUAGAAUCAUAGAGUUGGAAGGGACCUCCAGGGUCAUCGAGUCNACCCCUCUGCUCAAUGCAGGAUUCACUAAACCAUCCCAGACAAAUAUCUCUCCAGCCUCUCCCUGAAGGCUUAAACUUCAAUUCCCAGCAUUCCAGGGGUUAGAAGUUAAGCAGUCCUGUUCUAUGGGCAUAAAUAUUACAUUCUUCCAGUGCGUAGGCUGUUUUGAAUUUUGCUCCAUUCCCCCUUGUCUUGACCAUUGGUUUACCUGUGAAGAAAACGUUUCUCCUAUGAAACUCUCUUGUCCCUGCCCAGGAGACCACGGUCCCCGUCUCCCCGUCGGGUCAUACCUGAGAUGCCCUGGAAGAGGCUCGUGAGCUUGCACCCCGCCUGCUAUGCCAGCCACCGGAGUUUGCAGGAUUACUGGAUCAGCCCCCAAAGGCGUUACCUGGCUGGCAGCACGUGGCACACUCCCACGAGAAAGACGUUGAUCCUCCCCGGGACCACCGGUAUUUCGGAUGUGGAGUCUACUCGCUGGCCAAGUUCAGGUCGAUACCGGCCCAAUCUCAUAUGGAAGAACCGUUGGCAGUACCUGAACUCCUAUUACCUGGGCAAGAGACCCCGCCACUUCCUGAAGGUGAACUUCUGAACUCUCUCCCCCAAGGGCCGUGCACUUAAAGCCUUUGCCUCAGAGGGCACUCCGGAGGAGACCGAUGUGCCCCCCGCCCAGAAUCGCUUGCCUGCAGCGCNGGGCAGUUCCCCGGAUUCUGUCUGCCAGAUCCCUUGACGCAGAACGGUACUUCCCGCUUGACUCCGCUUUUUGACCUGGGUCUUCCCUUCCCC